rnacentral:rRNA from 1 species
GGAAUAUUCCACAAUGGGGGAAACCCUGAUGGAGCGACGCCGCGUGAGUGAAGAAGGGCUUCGGCUCGUAAAGCUCUUUUAUCGAGGACGAAUGCCGUAUUGGAUACGGAGAGACGGUACUUGGUGAAUAAGCCACGGCUAACUACGUGCCAGCAGCCGCGGUAAUACGUAGGUGGCAAGCGUUAUCCGGAUUUAUUGGGCGUAAAGCGAGCGCAGGCGGUUUCUUAAGUCUGAUGUGAAAGCCUUCGGCUUAACCGCAGAAGUGCAUCGGAAACUGUCAGACUUGAGUGCAGAAGAGGACAGUGGAACUCCAUGUGUAGCGGUGGAAUGCGUAGAUAUAUGGAAGAACACCAGUGGCGAAGGCGGCUGUCUGGUCUGCAACUGACGCUGAGGCUCGAAAGCAAGGGUAGCGAACA